GCAAACUCAGAGAGAUGCAGCCACCAGAGGUGGGGAACUGUGAGCCUGAAUGGAAACUCCAUCACAGCUGAGGUAGGAGAGUAUUGGAUAAAAACUUUAUCUGUACAAAUUGACUCAAACUGUUGACCACCACGUGUAGGCAGUGGGAUGGACAUUUCCCAGGACCAAUCCCCACUCUUUCUCUCCUUCACUCUGUAUCCAAAUGGGGUUACCGUGUGCAGACGGUUUGUACCUGGCACUUCAGGCCAGAGUUCCUAGUCAACACUUCAGCUCCAGACAGUGCGGAUAAGCUCUGCUC